UUGCACGCUGGCGGCAUGCUUUACACAUGCAAGUCGAACGGCAGCGCGGGCUUCGGCCUGGCGGCGAGUGGCGAACGGGUGAGUAAUACAACGGAACGUGCCCAGUAGUGGGGGAUAGCUCGGCGAAAGCCGGAUUAAUACCGCAUACGACCUGAGGGUGAAAGCGGGGGAUCUUCGGACCUCGCGCUAUUGGAGCGGCCGAUGGCAGAUUAGCUAGUUGGUGGGGUAAAGGCCUACCAAGGCGACGAUCUGUAGCUGGUCUGAGAGGACGACCAGCCACACUGGGACUGAGACACGGCCCAGACUCCUACGGGAGGCAGCAGUGGGGAAUUUUGGACAAUGGGCGAAAGCCUGAUCCAGCAAUGCCGCGUGUGUGAUGAAGGCCUUCGGGUUGUAAAGCACUUUUGGCGGGAACGAAAAGGACUGUGCCAAUACCACGGUUCGAUGACGGUACCCGCAGAAUAAGCACCGGCUAACUACGU
rnacentral:rRNA from 1 species